ensembl:rRNA 5S_rRNA 5S ribosomal RNA
GAUUACGGCCAUACCACACUGACAAUGCCCGAUCUCGUCUGAUCUCGGAAGCUAAGCAGAGUUGGGCUGGAUCAGUACUUGGAAGGGUGAACGCCUGGGAAUACCCGGUGCUGGAAGCA